UACGUAGGGUCCGAGCGUUGUCCGAAGUUACUGGGCGUAAAGCGCGCGUAGGCGGGUCGAAAAGUCCGCUGUGAAAGCCCGAGGCUUAACCUCGGCGGGUCGGUGGAUACUGUCGGUCUUGAAGGUGCUAGGGGGAGAUGGAAUUACCGGUGUAGCGGUGAAAUGCGUAGAUAUCGGUAGGAACACCAGUGGCGAAGGCGGUCUCCUGGGGCAUUCUUGACGCUGAGGCGCGAAAGCUGGGGGAGCGAACGGG
rnacentral:rRNA from 1 species